rnacentral:rRNA from 1 species
GUGAGGAAUAUUGCGCAAUGGAGGCAACUCUGACGCAGCCAUGCCGCGUGAAUGAUGAAGGUCUUAGGAUUGUAAAAUUCUUUCACCGGGGACGAUAAUGACGGUACCCGGAGAAGAAGCUCCGGCUAACUUCGUGCCAGCAGCCGCGGUAAUACGAAGGGGGCUAGCGUUGCUCGGAAUUACUGGGCGUAAAGGGCGCGUAGGCGGACAGCUUAGUCAGAGGUGAAAGCCCAGGGCUCAACCUUGGAAUUGCCUUUGAUACUGGCUGUCUUGAGUUUGGGAGAGGUGAGUGGAACUCCGAGUGUAGAGGUGAAAUUCGUAGAUAUUCGGAAGAACACCAGUGGCGAAGGCGACUCACUGGCCCAAUACUGACGCUGAGGCGCGAAAGCGUGGGGAGCAAACAGGAUUAGAUACCCGGGUAGUCC